rnacentral:lncRNA from 1 species
UUCAGGACCCUCCUGAAAAAUGGAAUUUUACUUUCUGUUCAGGACCUUCCUGAAAAAUGGAAUUUUACUUUAUGUUCAGGACCCUCCUGAAAAAUGGAAUUUUACUUUCUGUUCAGGACCCUCCUGAAAAAUGGAAUUUUACUUUAUGUUCAGGACCCUCCUGAAAAAUAGAAUUUUACCUUCUGUUCAGGACCCUCCUGAAAAAUGAAAUUUCACUUUAUGUUCAGGACCCUCCUAAAAAAUGAGAUUUUACUUUCUGUUCAGGACCCUCCUGAAAAAUGAGAUUUUACUUUCUGUUCAGGACCUUCCCAAAAAAUAAGAUUUUACUUUUUGUUCAGGACCCUCCUGAAAAGUGGGAUUUUACUUUCUGUUCAGGUCCCUCCUGAAAAAUGGGACCACGCUUUCAAAAAUGAAAUACUGCCUUAUGAUAAUCUUUGUGUGGGAUAGUUUUAGUUCUAAUUUUGAUUUUGAUUAAUUUUCGUUCUAGUUUUGAUUUUGGUUUCAGGAGCCCGCCUG